rnacentral:misc_RNA from 1 species
AAUUGUCGGAUCGAAAUGCAAUGUGCGUUAUAAAUCGCAACUAAAAAAAAUAACCAGCUUCACGAGAUACUAAUACGUAAUCAAUAGAAUCAAAUCUAGAAUAUUGAUCGCAGUUUGUAAGUGACUAAACGAACGGAUAGUCUGAAAUGAAAAGAAAAUUACUGCAAGAUGGAACAAACGAUAAACUAACAAAAUAUCACUUGAUAAGUACAUUUUUUACUGUUGUUAUAUUUUUUCUGUUACCAUAAACAAUAGCAUAUUUUUCUACCAAAAGCUGAUCCGAAAACCAGUGUUCCUAAAUGCAAUUUCCUGUACGGAACUCGGCCGAAAACGCGAGAGCCUGCAGCUGGUGCGCCCGAUUGCACGGCCACCAAUAUCCAAGAAAAUCUGAAUAUCACAUCUUUUUCCCGCAAACGCACCCCUCGUUUUCACACGAGCCAUUUAUCCGAGAAGAGGGCGUGAAAGUAGCUAUAUCGCUCUUAAUUUCGUCCGGUACACAAAUAAAUAUGCAGUUUCGUCAACUGUGAGUCAAUGCGGCGCGCAGUAAACUUUCCGCUUCGCAAUUUCCCAUUUACGCACAGUUGCCCGUGUAUCAUGGCCUAUUGUACCGAAUGCAGUAACUUAAUGCAUCAUCUACGAGUUGAUGAUGCAGCACGGAUAAGUCUAAUUUGAGUUGCUCCACGUAACCAGUUCCACGAAGAAAACUUUGCAUGAGAUGGAGAUAAUAGUGGUACAUGUUAUUCCACGUAUAUUGCGUGUACGAGAUGUUAAGCGAAGUCUAUAACAACCUCCCGCGCAUUGCUAUGUAUCCGGAAGUCGAAAUACGACGAUUGUAUAGCCGAGAGUUUUCAAAAGAAAGAUUUUCUCUCCGCGAUUGCUUGAAAUUUCCCUUAAACAAGAAAUUCGAGAAUAAUUGUUCCGUUGUGUAUACUUGAACUUAGAAUUAAGAAUUAAAGAUUGAACGUAAUUCAGAAGCAUUUUUAUUAGAAACCAACGUUGUAUUCAUCCGACAUAUUACGUUCAUGUAAUUCGCAAUUCUUUUUUCUAAUUCUCCGCUUUUUCCAGUCAAUCGAUAUAAUCGAAUCUUGCUUUACACAUUAUG